GUACACGUAUAUUAUGUAAACAAAAACGUAUUUUGGCUGCGAUUAAUCGCGAUUAAUUGUUUGAUAGCACUAAUAUUUAAAUCUGGUUUUGAUUGAGAGCCAAUAGCAGUGAAACCCUGUAGAGAUUCAAAAAUUCAUUGGCUGGCAGCAGGCAUUAUUUGCAUAUCACGUGAUGUAUUGAGUGCGCAGAACCUGAAGUAAAAAUCCCAUUCAUUUUCUUCAUGAGGCAAGACAGACCCACUAAGCUGUAAGUUUAAAUGGUGUUAUGCUUUUGUUGAAGCGUUAUUUCAACUCAUUUUGCAAAUAUGUGGUAAUUAACCAUGAUUAUUCAAAAAAAUCUCCAAUCGGAGAAUUACAAUUUGCAUAUUUUGCAGUAAACGUAAAAUGUUUCUGUAUACACACUCGAUAUCUUUAAAUCAAUAGUUUUAUCUGUCAUUCGCAGUGCUUCUUGGGAUUGCAGUACUUUCCGGCAUGGACCGGUUUUGUGUAUUCUUUUUGCCAUUUUCAAAUACUUUUUUGCUUAAAAUCUAAAGAUUGUAAUGAUUCGGCUCAUAGCUGAUUGGUUUGAGUGAAUCGUAACUCUUUAACAAAUGCUUUUUAAAAAUGAAUGGGGAAAAAUACUCCAGAAAACCAAGGCAGCUGAAAAAGCGGUGUUGCACUCAAUUAAAGCACUUGCUGCAGAGUCUGCUGCCAACCAAUGAAAGAUUGAACUUUUAUUUAAUUAGGCUCGAUGGCAACUAGAAGUUGUUCGUCCUAUCAUAAGAAACGUGUUGGAAUAAACAGAAAAUUAUUUGGCGUCUCAGUAAAAAAGUAGCAAGUUAAAAGAACUAGUUUCAGCUUCGAAUAUUCAGGCUCACUAAAACAACCCUCAACAUCCGGUAAUAUAGUGAUUUAACGUGUGUCCCCUCCCAAUUAGUGUAAUUUGUUAAAUAGUUCAAGCACAUUAUGAAAAUAUUGUCAUUGGUGUUACGGUGAACCUUUUGGUCGGGACUCUAAAGACCGAUUUGAGUUGUUUUUCUACCGUUUUAAUCAAUUAGUAAAGGACUUAAAUGCUCUUGUCUCAUUGUAUUACUGCUUCAACGGAAUAACCUAUUGAAUAUUGUUUAUUUCAGAUACAACUGAACUGUAUGUAUUUCUGUUAAUAAAAGUCAUUACUCCGUAGCCAUUAUGGUUUAUGACUAGCUGAGAUUUAUUGGGUGGUUUUGACGUAUGAGGCCCAUGUAGCGAUUUUGUCUUUCCAUCUAGGUAAGACUAAAACUGGAGGCCACCCUUUGCCUUUAUCAGGCAUUGGCUCUAGUGCUCCAUAUUAAUGACUUUUCUUUGCAUCAGACGUGGGGAUGUCAGUAUUUUCCCAACCAUAUGUUGUCUUUAUUCUUAAAAUAUGUUUAGAGCUUUGUUCCAAUACUUUUAGUGAUCAAAUAAGACGGAUCUAUACCUUAGCUGUGUCCACUACUACGUCAUUGGAUUCUCCAGGGCUACUCCAGAGAUGUAGAAACCCAGCUGAAAAUCCAUAGGAUAAUCGCACCAGGUUUCCAGGUUUGUAGAAAUGCUCUAUACACCAGACAUUACAUCAGGUGUGCCUUUAACAUACUUUGGAUCCACCUGGAACGAAAUCAGGUAUUUGUGAGUCGUUAACGUAAAGCGUGCAUGCAACUUUAUUUCAGCUUUUCCUAAAUACUAGCUGUGAAUAGCGUUAACUGGCGGUGACCAUGUAACUUAGAGGAAAAGUGGAAAUUAGAACAUGCUCUGUAGUUCAAUGUGGUGAUUGUGGUCUAUGUAGUUAUGUCUUAAUCCAAUAUUUUAGCCGAUUUCCAGUUUAAGGUCAAACCGGAGAACGGAGCUUAUAGUUCCUGUAUACUUGAUGCAUUAGUUCCAGAUAUUAAUGACAUCAAAUGCAAAGGAGAUCAGCAUUUAUUAAGCAAGAGGGAAUGCAAUGGAAGGAUUUAAAUAAAAUCUCACUUCUAAGCGCGGCCGCUUGAUGAACCUCUGCUGCGGCUGUGAAUCCAGUUGCUCUGAAAGAUGAAGGAAGAACUCCAGUGAGUUUGCAGAGUUUGCAUAGGAGCGCAUGUGCAUGGACCUCCGAGAGGCAAGAUGCCCAUGACCUGUGCCAAGAUGAUGCCAUGAUAAUGGUACUCGGAAGGCAGCUGCAUUCGGUUCCUGUGACUGGAAUUGAAUCAAAUGCAUAAUGGCGAAGUGAUAGGAAUCAUUGAACAAGAAUAAUCCUGGCAUUGAAUGUCUGAUGAAUUCAAUAAAAUAAUAAAAAAAAAUAACUGGA